UACGUAGGGACCAAGCGUUGUCCGGAAUCAUUGGCGUAAAGCGCGCGCAGGCGGUUCUUUAAGUCUGGUGUCUAAGUGCGGGCUCAACCCCGUGAUGCACUGGAAACUGGGGAACUUGAGUGCAGAAGAGGAGAGCGGAAUUCCACGUGUAGCGGUGAAAUGCGUAGAGAUGUGGAGGAACACCAGUGGCGAAGGCGGCUCUCUGGACUGUAACUGACGCUGAGGCGCGAAGCGUGGGGAGCAACAGG
rnacentral:rRNA from 1 species